UACGGAGGGUGCAAGCGUUAUCCGGAUUCACUGGGUUUAAAGGGUGCGUAGGCGGCGCGGUAAGUCGGGUGUGAAAUCUCGGAGCUUAACUCCGAAACUGCAUUCGAUACUGCCGUGCUUGAGGACUGGAGAGGAGACUGGAAUUUACGGUGUAGCGGUGAAAUUCGUAGAUAUUCGCAAGAACACCAGUGGCGAAGGCGGCUCACUGGUCCGGUACUGACGCUGAGGUGCGAAAGCGUGGGGAGCAAACAGGG
rnacentral:rRNA from 1 species